AAAAUCCGUCGACUUUUAAAAUCGUGAGGGUUCAAGUCCCUCAGUCCCUCUAUCCCCA
rnacentral:tRNA from 1 species